AGAUGUUAAGAGAGUAGAUGAAAAAACACAAAAAAUAGGAAACGAACUUGCAAAGUAAUUUUUAAUUUGGCUUAUUACUAUUUAAUAAAAUAUUCAUUGAUGAAUUUAUACUAAUAUUAUGACUGAACAAGACAUUCGUGAGAUCGAGUUGAAAAUCAACAUAAAUCGCCUAACGUACAUCGAAGCCAAAGAGGGAGUAACGUACAUACAGAAGAAUAAGAAGUCGCUUAGAAAACACGUACUCAGACCAAGAAAGCGAAUAAUACCUACGCGCAAGACAUCGUUUAUUUAGUGAGAGAACUAGACAAAGUUAACAAAUGGAGAGAAGAGUUUGAAACGGAAUGGUAGUCUGAGAGUUAAAGUGAAGGUCACAGCGUCCAUUUGGAGGAAUAACAGGUUACCUAUAUAUACUAUAUUGCUUCUGUCGCUCUCAUUGCUUGCCUCUACCUUGCCCAAUUUUGUACGAACUUUUUUAUUAUUUCUUCUCUGUUACUUUGGCUGUGUGGUUGUGCUGCAAACUGAUUGACAUGUUCAUUUGAUUUUCACUGUAGAACACCAUAGAAGAAGAAAAAUUCACCAUCAGUGUAGAGUGGUAUGAUGACAUAUAUUCAUUGGUGCGUCAAUUUGUCUUGGUUUACUACCCUUCGGACAGGACAGUUGAAAUGUACAACAGCAAGCAAAAGAAAACAUUUAUGAAGAGUUCAUUCUUUGAGACAGUAGCAGAAAUUGAUCUGUACAUUUCGAACAAAAUUACAGUUUUUGGAAGAGAACUGAAGGUGAUGGAAUACCUCGACUAUACAACCAAAACUGAAUUGGCAAAGAAAUCAGAAUGUCAUUGAGCAGAUGGGAAAGGUUCUAUCCUUUAUUGAAGGAAACUGAUUCCGAUUCAACAAACUGAUGCUUACCAAAAUUGGUGCGAAUAGAGCUGCGGAAUUUUACAAGUAACACCAGGGACAAGCAUUUUAUGAAAAACUUGUAAAAAACAUUUCGUCCGGUCCUGUCCUCGCCAUGGAACUGUUGGCCCUGUCAGCCUUCAGGUAUUGGCGAGUAAGUUUGGGACCAACCGAUCCAGAUGUGGGCCAAAUUACAUCCUUUGUGCCUUGUUAAGCCACACACUCUCCAAGAAGAAGUUGGCGCACUCAUCGCUGCAAUUCAACAAAAUAACAACAGAGUUUCAAGUAGGAAGCUUCACAGAUUGAGUUCAACUAAAGCUGUGCAGUUCUUUGCUGCUUAUAAAGGAGUUUGGAAUGAUUACCCGGGCCAGCCGUGGCAUUGGCUGUAGAUUCCAAUGUCAAUACAUUUAGAGAACUUAUGCAUCAUGCUUAUGCAAAGAUU